rnacentral:rRNA from 1 species
GGAAUUUUGGACAAUGGACGAAAGUCUGAUCCAGCCAUUCCGCGUGCAGGACGAAGGCCUUCGGGUUGUAAACUGCUUUUGUACGGAACGAAAAAGCUCUUAUUAAUACUAGGAGUCCAUGACGGUACCGUAAGAAUAAGCACCGGCUAACUACGUGCCAGCAGCCGCGGUAAUACGUAGGGUGCAAGCGUUAAUCGGAAUUACUGGGCGUAAAGCGUGCGCAGGCGGUUAUAUAAGACAGAUGUGAAAUCCCCGAGCUUAACUUGGGAACUGCAUUUGUGACUGUAUAGCUAGAGUACGGCAGAGGGGGAUGGAAUUCCGCGUGUAGCAGUGAAAUGCGUAGAUAUGCGGAGGAACACCGAUGGCGAAGGCAAUCCCCUGGGCCUGUACUGACGCUCAUGCACGAAAGCGUGGGGAGCAAACAGGAUUAG